rnacentral:rRNA from 1 species
AGUGAACGCUGGCGGUAGGCCUAACACAUGCAAGUCGAACGGUAGCACAGGAGAGCUUGCUCUCUGGGUGGCGAGUGGCGGACGGGUGAGGAAUACAUCGGAAUCUACUUUUUCGUGGGGGAUAACGUAGGGAAACUUACGCUAAUACCGCAUACGACCUACGGGUGAAAGCAGGGGAUCUUCGGACCUUGCGCGAUUGAAUGAGCCGAUGUCGGAUUAGCUAGUUGGCGGGGUAAAGGCCCACCAAGGCGACGAUCCGUAGCUGGUCUGAGAGGAUGAUCAGCCACACUGGAACUGAGACACGGUCCAGACUCCUACGGGAGGCAGCAGUGGGGAAUAUUGGACAAUGGGCGCAAGCCUGAUCCAGCCAUACCGCGUGGGUGAAGAAGGCCUUCGGGUUGUAAAGCCCUUUUGUUGGGAAAGAAUCCAGCUGGCUAAUACCCGGUUGGGAUGACGGUACCCAAAGAAUAAGCACCGGCUAACUUCGUGCCAGCAGCCGCCGUAA